rnacentral:misc_RNA from 1 species
CCACAGGUCUUCCCUCGCGGAUUAAAGUGAUUUGUGGCUACCGGUCUUCGCUCGUAAACACCAGAAACUAUCACCAUGCGUCACAUCGCUGCGUACCUACUCCUCCAGAUCGGCGGCAACGCCAGCCCCUCCGCCGCGGACGUCGGUAAGGUCCUCGGCGCCGUCGGCAUUGAGGCCGACGGUGAACGUCUCAGCACUCUCAUCUCCGAGCUCGAGGGCAAGGAUGUCGCCGCUCUGAUUGCUGAGGGUUCUUCCAAGCUCGCUUCCGUCCCGUCCGGUGGUGCUGUUGCUGCCUCUGGUGGUGGUGGUGGUGCGGCUGGUGCUGCCCCUGCCGCUGCUGCUGAGCCGAAGGAGGAGAAGAAGGAGGAAGAGAAGG